rnacentral:tRNA from 1 species
AAGGGAGUGGCAGAUCGGCUGUGCGGUUGAC